rnacentral:rRNA from 1 species
UACGGAGGGGGCUAGCGUUGUUCGGAAUUACUGGGCGUAAAGCGCACGUAGGCGGCUUUGUAAGUUAGAGGUGAAAGCCCAGGGCUUAACCCUGGAAUUGGCCUUUAAGACUGCAUCGCUAGAAUCGUGGAGAGGUGAGUGGAAUUCCGAGUGUAGAGGUGAAAUUCGUAGAUAUUCGGAAGAACACCAGUGGCGAAGGCGACUCACUGGACACGUAUUGACGCUGAGGUGCGAAAGCGUGGGGAGCAAACAGG